rnacentral:tRNA from 1 species
AAGGAAUAUAAUAAUAAUAGCUGCUAACUAAUUAUAAUAACGAUAAACGUUUAUAUUCCUUA